UGGGCGAAAGCCUGAUGGAGCAACGCCGCGUGAGUGAAGAAGGUCUUCGGAUCGUAAAGCUCUGUUGCACGGGACGAAAACUGGGUUUGAAAACAUUGAACCUGGGUGACGGUACCGAGCGAGGAAGCCACGGCUAACUACGUGCCAGCAGCCGCGGUAAUACGUAGGUGGCGAGCGUUGUCCGGAAUUAUUGGGCGUAAAGGGAGCGCAAGCGGACAUAUAAGUCCAUCUUAAAAGUGCGGGGCUCAACCCCGUGAGGGGAUGGAAACUGUAUGCCUUGAGUGCAGGAGAGGAAAGCGGAAUUCCCAGUGUAGCGGUGAAAUGCGUAGAUAUUGGGAGGAACACCAGUGGCGAAGGCGGCUUUCUGGACUGUAACUGACGCUGAGGCUCGAAAGCCAGGGGAGCGAACGGGAUUAGAUACCCCGGUAGUCCUGGCCGUAAACGAUGAAUGCUAGGUGUAGGAGGUAUCGACCCCUCCUGUGCCGGAGUUAACGCAAUAAGCAUUCCGCCUGGGGAGUACGGUCGCAAGACUGAAACCCAAAGGAAUUGACGGGGGCCCGCACAAGCGGUGGAGUAUGUGGUUUAAUUCGACGCCACGCGAAGAACCUUACCAGGGCUUGACAUUGAGUGAAAGAGCUAGAGAUAGCUUCCUCC
rnacentral:rRNA from 1 species